rnacentral:lncRNA from 1 species
ACCUCGUAUGGCUAACUAUCCAAUUUGUUUGAGAGAUGGAGUAACAUGCCGAUUAUCUGUGGCAGUGGGGAAAUGAAACUGUCACAUCAAUUACAAAAGCUGCUAAGUUGCCAGCAGGAAAAGCAUUGAUUCUUGGUGCACUGCUCUAUCUUCGUUAUGAGUCAUAUCCCUUAACAUUAUUUUCGUCAUUCUCUGUCUUAUUUAAACCUCGUUUUUAAUCCAUGUGACUUAAAACAAGUUAUCUUCACUGAUUUGACAGGUAUGUUUUAGUCCUUUUUAUAGUAUGUUACAUUGUUUAGUCUGGUUUUCUUUAAAUUAAUUGACUUUAUUUUUCAAAAGUUAUAGGUUUAUAGACCUAUUGAGCAGACAUUAGGUGAGUUCCUAUAUAUAUCCCCUCUUCUCCUGCACGUAAUUUACCCUAUUAUUAACAUUUUCCAUUAGUGUG